rnacentral:rRNA from 1 species
GCCCUCCCCACCCCUCGG